CGUCAUCUUUUGAUCCUGUCGUAAUCUUUCAUAUCCUCAAAACUGGUCACAGUCUCUCAGUUUCGUUCCACUGACAGCUGCUGCUCAAGUGAUUUAACUCCUCCAAAUGAAAGUCUGCUGAAGCCAAUUGUUGAAUGGGGAUUUUCUUCCUAAAGUUAAACCUUGUGUAUUUUCUAACUUCAAGACUAAGCUAGAUACAGCAGCUUCAUCAAGGAGAGAACUGCUGAAUGAGCUCCUGGAACUUUACUGCUGCAGGAUAUGUGAAUGCCUCACCUGUGAGAGUGGGUUAGGUAGCAGUGUGUUCUGGAGAAGUGAUGUCCUUGCCUUCACAGAAGGAUGGUUAUUCCUCUUCCUCUGAUGAACUUUGUUCUUUAGAAAUACCUUGAAUCAACCCCGGACUUGGAAUCUAAUGCAAAGAAUUGGAGAGCUGUCAAGAGCGGUCAUCUGCUGGCUCAUUCUGGCUUUAUUAAAAUGGAAUUUGCUUUGGGAGAUGUCCGUCAGUGCAGAGAGGCACUUGAAACCCAUUGUUUUAUCCUUCUUGUAUUUAAAAAACAAACAGAAGCAAUCCGGAAUGGAAUAUUUUUUUCUCAGUCAGAGAACAUCUAGCAGUUUUGAUCGUCUCCUUCACUGUGUGGAACAGUGAGCUGAGGAGCUGUCUGACACCUUCCUGGAAAUGGAAGGAAGCUGUACGUGCGUGCUGGGACGUUUCUGCUCAAGCUGCCCAGCACAGCGAGGCACAGUGCAGCGAUGCACGCCAGCUGGCAGCACUGCGUGAUCUGAGCAGUUCUAGCGUGCUGUUGGAAUGCACAGUGCAGUGUGCUGGUAGUCCCCAGCACCCUGUGUGGCUGGGUUUGCAGUGGAACUCUAUGUCGGUGUUACCCCAGUGCAGCCAUUGUUAAAACUACUUUGUCACUUGCUGCAAGGAACAUCAAGACUUGGGACUUGAGACUCCCGAAUCCAUUUGCCUGUUGGACCUUGAAGUAUUUCUGCUCGGGAUGGCAUUCACUAGCAAUUUAGAAUUGCAACAGAAAUUUAGUGCUCGUAAUGAAACACAUCAGCCUCCUUUCGUACUGCUGCUGCUGUGCAAACAGUGCUGUACUGAGAAGCAAACAUCCCGGUGGGAUGCUGUUCGUAUUCUCAUGCAGAAUAAAGCAGUGAAAGGGAGCGUCUGUGGUGAGAUGCUCAAGUGAAAUUCCCUGCACCAGCAGCCAGUUUGUGUCCACGUGAUGCACGGUGAAGAGAAGCCUGCAGUUCUUGACCACGGCCAGCCCCUGAAGCUCCAGUCAUGAAGGCCCUGUAUGUCAUGUCCAACGCCAUCUGUCUGUGCUGCCCAUGGCUGUGAUGGGUGCUGCUACCUCAUGUCCCCUCAAAUUGCCAGGCAUCCAAGCUUCUCCUCCUCCACCAGCUCUCCGCUGGCUCCAACACCUUUGCCACCUCCCAUGUCGUGUGGUGGAAAUGCAUGGUGCUGGGGUGGGCCCAAACUCCCACCCUGACAGCAGGCACGUUUCCAAAACCUCUGCUCACUUCCUCAUCCUGCUGGCUCAUGAGAAGAUCCUGUUGUCAGCUCUGCCGACCAGCACAGCAGAGGUGGGAUUGUUACAGGCAGCUGGAAAACAGCAGGGGAAUAACCAUUUCCCCCUUUGGCUGUUAUUUCUUGAGAAAUGCUGUCUGGUGAGUGUUUAGUCAGGGCCUGAUCCACUGAUGGAGCAUCUGGGGAAAGGACCCAGUCAGCCCUGGGAGCACAGGUGAGGGCAGUUCAGUUGUAUGAUGGAAUGAGGGGAGCCUGGCUGCACCUCUCUUAGACCUCAUUGAAGGGCUGACCCUGCAGUGGGCAAGGAUCUCUGGUUGGAGAUCCCUCCCUUGUGGAGUUUUCCCUGUGAGCCUGGAUCUUCAGAGACUGGUGAGCACUUUGUCUUUGUAACACCCUUCUGUUGCGCUAGUCCCUUUGUGGUUACACCUCCUUCCACUGCAUUGAUCAUUCGGAUUGUUACAGACGUCCUCUGCCCCUUCCCACCUGUAAAGCAAACAAGGUGAUGACAGAGCCUUUAUUUGAGAUAUAGGUGCUGUAGAACAGGAUAUCAAAGAAAGAGGAAUCGACUCAUCCCUCCCAGCAACAGUUUGGCAGAAAGUGGUGAGCUGAGGAAUGCAGCCCUUCUGCGUUUGAACUAUGGUGUGCUGAAAGGUGAAAGGGGGCUGAGGGGUGAGGGGAGGAGACCUGUGCAGGCUGACUGUAUGUGUGCUGCUGGGAGCACUGCUGAGAUGGAGAGAGAGGAAGACUCCCUCCACUUGAGGUACUCGUGUGCUCACGCAGUGGUUCAGGCUGUGACCUGGCAAUUCCACUGCACCACCCGUCCUGCACUGUCCAUGUGCCACCUGCAGAUGUUGCCCAGCUGUUGGGCAACUCGCUGUGACCUCCCUGUCUCACUGCUGCCUUGUGCACUGGACUUCACAGCAUCUUGAUGGUGGCAUUGUGCUUCCCAAGGAGUGCACAGAUCUUUCUGAUGGGAGUGAGCAGCAAGGAACCAACUGAAUCAUAGAAUCGCAAGGUUGGAAAAGACCUGUAAGAGUCUCAGCUAUAGAGGUCCUAUAAGGGUCUCAGCUUCCUUCCUGCCCUGUGCUUGACUGAGGGACCCUGCGACCAGCUCAGGAGGUGGCAUCCCAGGUGCUGUCUGUCUGUGGUAGGUUCCAGAGCAAGGAGGCCUCUCCGUGCCAUCGCUGCACAUUGAUUUCAGCCUGUGGCACCAACACUGGGACGCAUGGAUGCUCCAGGAAACAGCUGUGAACCCUGGGGCUGGAAUAAAAAUGCCAAAAACAGCGUAGAAAAAAAAA